UCCGCCGCCGCGGACUGAGGCAGCUUUAUCGUCGGAGUCCCUGAACUCUCGCUUUCUUUUUAAUCCCCUGCAUCGGAUCACCGGCGUGCCCCACCAUGUCAGACGCAGCCGUAGACACCAGUUCCGAAAUCACCACCAAGGACUUAAAGGAGAAGAAGGAAGUUGUGGAAGAGGCGGAAAAUGGAAGAGACGCCCCUGCUAACGGGAAUGCUAAUGAGGAAAAUGGGGAGCAGGAGGCUGACAAUGAGGUAGAUGAAGAAGAGGAAGAAGGUGGGGAGGAAGAGGAGGAGAAAGAAGAAGGUGAUGGUGAGGAAGAGGAUGGAGAUGAAGAUGAGGAAGCUGAGUGAGCUACGGGCAAGCGGGCAGCUGAAGAUGAUGAGGAUGACGAUGUCGAUACCAAGAAGCAGAAGACCGACGAGGAUGACUAGACAGCAAAAAAGAAAAAGUUAAACUAAAAAAAAAAGGCCGCCGUGACCUAUUCACACUCCACUUCCGGUCUCAGAAUCUA